UACGGAGGGAGCUAGCGUUAUUCGGAAUUACUGGGCGUAAAGCGCACGUAGGCGGCUUUGUAAGUUAGAGGUGAAAGCCUGGAGCUCAACUCCAGAAUUGCCUUUAAGACUGCAUUGCUUGAAUCCAGGAGAGGUGAGUGGAAUUCCGAGUGUAGAGGUGAAAUUCGUAGAUAUUCGGAAGAACACCAGUGGCGAAGGCGGCUCACUGGAGCUGGUAUUGACGCUGAGGUGGCGAAAAGC
rnacentral:rRNA from 1 species